GAUGAACGCUGGCGGCGUGCCUAAUACAUGCAAGUCGAGCGAACGGACGAGAAGCUUGCUUCUCUGAUGUUAGCGGCGGACGGGUGAGUAACACGUGGAUAACCUACCUAUAAGACUGGGAUAACUUCGGGACACCGGAUCUAAUACCGGAUAAUAUUUUGAACCGCAUGGUUCAAAAGUGAAAGACGGUCUUGCUGUCACUUAUAGAUGGAUCCGCGCUGCAUUAGCUAGUUGUUAAGGUAAAGGCUUACCAAGGCAACGAUGCAUAGCCGACCUGAGAGGGUGAUCGGCCACACUGGAACUGAGACACGGUCCAGACUCCUACGGGAGGCAGCAGUAGGGAAUCUUCCGCAAUGGGCGAAAGCCUGACGGAGCAACGCCGCGUGAGUGAUGAAGGUCUUCGGAUCGUAAAACUCUGUUAUUAGGGAAGAACAUAUGUGUAAGUAACUGUGCACAUCUUGACGGUACCUAAUCAGAAAGCCACGGCUAACUACGUG
rnacentral:rRNA from 1 species